UAUUUGACUUUUUUUCAGCAGGUGCACAGAACGAACCAAAAAUGACAACACUACAAAGGAAUUUCCUUUCCUGAGAAUCUGGGAACAACCGUGUCACAAUGGGGAAUUUAGGCAUAAGGCCAGGGCACAAGCUUCAUGAGGGCAGGACUGUGUCCACCUUUUGCCUAGAAGAAUGCCUGACACAUGCUAGCUUGUGUUCCCUCUUGACCAAACCCAAUGGAAGGCAGAGAGCAAAGGAGUUUGAGGACUCCACCUGUGCAAGCUGAUCUCCCAGACACAGCGUAGAGUGGAGAUGGGUGGAAAGCCAGUCUGGAGAGACACAGAGAAGAUACUCUGCUCAGCCAUUCUUAGAGGUCCUCAGCUAUUCAAGUGUAGCCAGGGUGAAAAAUUGCAACUCUGGUGAGCACAAACUCGGAUACGUUGAAAUCUAUGUGGUGUUCUGUUAAAAUAUGGCUUUGGUCCUCAUUGGGGAGCCUAAAAAGUAUUAUUUGAAGUGAAGAUUGUGUAUUAAUUUAUACCUAUGGAAUCCUUGUAUGACAUUUCCAAAUCUGUCUGUAAGAUAAUGGCUCUAAAUGGUUUAUAGCUUUAAAAAAAAUCUAAUAAAUAUAGUAACUUUGUA